AACGAACGCUGGCGGCGGGCUUAACACAUGCAAGUCGAACGAGAAUGAGGGGGCAACUCCUCUAGUAAAGUGGCGGACGGGUAAGUAACACGUGGGUAAUCUACCUUCUGGCGGGGGACAACAAUCCGAAAGGAUUGCUAAUACCGCGUACGUCGGCGAAGUCUAAGGACUUUACCGGGAAAGACGGCCUCUCCUCGGAAGCUGUCACCGGAAGAUGAACCCGCGUCCCAUCAGCUAGUUGGUGAGGUAACGGCNCACCAAGGCAGAGACGGGUAGCUGGUCUGAGAGGAUGAUCAGCCACACUGGGACUGCGACACGGCCCAGACUCCUACGGGAGCAGCAGUGGGGAAUAUUGGGCAAUGGGCGAAAGCCUGACCCAGCCACGCCGCGUGAGUGAUGAAGGCCUGGUCGUAA
rnacentral:rRNA from 1 species